rnacentral:rRNA from 1 species
UACGAAGGGGGCUAGCGUUGCUCGGAUUGACUGGGCGUAAAGGGCGCGUAGGCGGAUAGUACAGUCAGGCGUGAAAUUCCUGGGCUCAACCUGGGGGCUGCGUUUGAUACGUAUUGUCUGGAGUUCGGAAGAGGGUCGUGGAAUUCCCAGUGUAGAGGUGAAAUUCGUAGAUAUGGGGAGGAACACCGGUGGCGAAGGCGGCCAUCUGGACGGAUACUGACGCUGAGACGCGAAAGCGUGGGGAGCAAACAGG